GUAAUUCUCUGUUCGUUUAUUAAUUGUUUCUGUUCGUUUACUUAAAUUGCUAAUUCAUUUGUUAAAUGGUGCUCAUUGAAUUCACAUUUUUUUUGUUUUUCCUCCUUGCGAGGAGAAUACUAAACAUUAUGAAGGCAGAUAUUUGCAAACUCUAAAAAAGCUAUCUUUGUCUCCUUCGAUUUUUUUCAGAUGGCAAAUCUAAUGGCCAACAAUCAAGUUCGUGUUCUCGUCACUGACGUUGCUGUUAGGAACUCUUUUCAUGUUUAGCUUCAAUGAUUUGUUUAUUUUUUUUUCAUUUUAUUUUGUGGAUUUUUUGAUGUGUAUACAGCUAGAUCGCCAUUUUCUGUCGAUUUAUUAGUCGGAUUAUCCGUAUAUUAUUUCGACUGUUUAUUAGUUGAUUUUAUGGAGAUCUAGAAUUUGCUCUGUAUCUAACUCGUUGAUUCACAUUAACCUUAUCUGAUUCGCCAUUGUGAAUGAAAUGCAGGAUUAUGAAAAAGUCCAUGUGGUUUAUACGGUAUUGAAGUUCGAUCCCAUUGGGAACUUUUUCAGUUAUUUAUGAUUGUGAUUUUGGAAUGAAU
rnacentral:lncRNA from 1 species